rnacentral:rRNA from 1 species
GCGUAAGAGCUCGCUAGGUGGUUCGUUACGUCGGAUGUGAAAAUCUGGGGCUCAACCCCAGACCUGCAUCCGAUACGGGCGAGCUAGAGUUUGGUAGGGGAGACUGGAAUUCCUGGUGUAGCGGUGGAAUGCGCAGAUAUCAGGAGGAACACCAAUGGCGAAGGCAGGUCUCUGGGCCAAUACUGACACUGAGGAGCGAAAGCGUGGGGAGCGAACAGGAUUAGAUACCCUGGUAGUCCACGCCGUAAACGGUGGGCGCUAGUUGUGGGAACCUUCCACGGUUUCUGCGACGCAGCUAACGCAUUAAGCGCCCCGCCUGGGGAGUACGAUCGCAAGAUUAAAACUCAAAGGAAUUGACGGGGCCCCGCACAAGCAGCGGAGCAUGCGGCUUAAUUCGACGCAACGCGAAGAACCUUACCAAGGCUUGACAUAUACAGGAAUAUGGCAGAGAUGUCAUAGCGGUAAAACGUCUGUAUACAGGUGGUGCAUGGUUGUCGUCAGCUCGUGUCGUGAGAUGUUGGGUUAAGUCCCGCAACGAGCGCAACCCUCGUUCUGUGUUGCCAGCAUUUAGUUGGGGACUCACAGGAGACUGCCGGGGUUAACUCGGAGGAAGGUGGGGAUGACGUCAAAUCAUCAUGCCCCUUAUGUCUUGGGUUGCACGCAUGCUACAAUGGCUGGUACAAAGGGCUGCAAUACUGC